rnacentral:rRNA from 1 species
CAAACUGGGAUUAGAUACCCCACUAUGCUUAGCCCUAAACUUAAAUAAUUCACUAGACAAAAUUAUUCGCCAGAGUACUACUAGCAACAGCCUAAAACUCAAAGGACUUGGCGGUGCUUUACACCCCCCUAGAGGAGCCUGUUCUAUAAUCGAUAAACCCCGAUAAACCCCACCAAUUCUCGCUAAUACAGCCUAUAUACCGCCAUCUUCAGCAAACCCUAAAAAGGAGGUACAGUAAGCAAGAUUAUAAAAACAUAAAUACGUUAGGUCAAGGUGUAGCCCAUGAAUUGGAAAGAAAUGGGCUACAUUUUCUAAAAUAGAACACGAACGAACGCCCUAAUGAAAACGAGGGUCAAAGGAGGAUUUAGCAGUAAGUUGAGAAUAGAAAGCUCAACUGAACCCGGCCCUAAAGCACGCACACACCGCCCGUCACCCUCUUCAAAUCCUCAA